rnacentral:rRNA from 1 species
GACGAACGCUGGCGGCGUGCUUAACACAUGCAAGUCGAACGGAAAGGCCCUGCUUUUGUGGGGUGCUCGAGUGGCGAACGGGUGAGUAACACGUGAGUAACCUGCCCUUGACUUUGGGAUAACUUCAGGAAACUGGGGCUAAUACCGGAUAGGAGCUCCUGCUGCAUGGUGGGGGUUGGAAAGUUUCGGCGGUUGGGGAUGGACUCGCGGCUUAUCAGCUUGUUGUGGGGGUAGUGGCUUACCAAGGCUUUGACGGGUAGCCGGCCUGAGAGGGUGACCGGCCACAUUGGGACUGAGAGACGGCCCAGACUCCUACGGGAGGCAGCAGUGGGGAAUAUUGCACAAUGGGCGGAAGCCUUAUGCAGCAACGCCGCGUGCGGGAUGACGGCCUUCGGGUUGUAAACCGUUUUCGCCUGUGACGAAGCGUGAGUGACGGUAAUGGGUAAAGAAGCACCGGCUAACUACGUG